rnacentral:tRNA from 1 species
GCCUGGGUGGCUCAGUGGUUUAGCACCACCUUCCACCCAGGGUGUGAUCCUGGAGACCUGGGAUCAAGUCCCACCUCAGGCU